UUCUGAUACAGUGUAUAUUAGGGCCAGUCAGUUUGAAUUUUUCAAGUCUUUAAUGUUUAAUAAUAGAAUGCUUCAAAAAUUAAUAUGCCAGAUAAAAGAAAUCUCUAUAGUUCCCAUCUCAUGCAAAUGUAUUUAAAACAAAUAAUUCCUUGAACUGCUUGAAGAAUAGGAAAGGUAGUAAGUAUAGGUCAUUUUAAUAAAAUUUGAAAUCUGUACUACACAGCAUGCAGAAAUCCCUUUAACACUAGUUAGAUUUAUUUAAUCUGAUUCUUGAGCCGAAAUGGAAUUUACCACAAAAUUUCACACACAGAAAUUAAUUUUAGGCCUUUUGAAUGAAAGUCAUUUAAUUUAAAAAGAUUUCUAGGGACAGUAAUAUAAUAGGACAUCAGAGUAUGGUUAGUUCCCUUAAGAAUAUUCUAGUUGUGGGGCUGGAGGGAUGACAUAAUAAUAACAGUGCUUCCUGCGCUUACAGAGGACCCAAGUUCAGUUCCCAGCAGCUACAUGGCAGCUCACAACUUCCACAGAAUCCAAUUCCCUCUUUUGGCCUCCACUGACAUGCACAUAACACCAUCCUACCCGCACACACACACACAUGCACAUAAUUAUAAAUGACAACAGUAAACCUUAAAAUACUAGUUAUAUACCAGAGCUAUGUGAUGGAAAUAACUUGAUUUGAAUUAUGUAUAGAGUAAAAUCAUUUAAAUAAAAAUCCUAGCUAAUUUAAAUGUAUAAUUUAAAAAAUACUGCUACUGUAGAAGUUUGUGAAGACAUGCUGAAAACUGGCAUUACAUACACUCAUCUUUUCAUUCUCAGAGCAACCAUUAUUAUAAUUAAUAUUCAUAUUUUACAAAUGAGGAAAUAAAAAUUAAAUGGAAAUCUGUCUGUUUCAUCCCAGACAUACCUGGGAUUUCACCCUGGGUCUGUCUCUCCAUGUGUCUUUUAUGCACAACACAUGGUCUACAUUCUUUAUGAGCUGAUGUGCAGUGUCCUGACAUGUUGUGCUCCAGCAGACGUGUGGUUUGUGUGUAAGCCAGGCCAGGUUCCUUAAUGAUCUUAAGUUAGGUAAAGCUAAAACAGUUCCUAAUUCAAUACAAAAUUCAGCCCACAUCUCAACAGUCGUCUUACCUGUCUCCUAAUAUUUUUACAUUGCAGAAGAAAAGGGAAAGUAAAUGCUAGGAGACAGUGAAGGGAGCAGAUGGAGCGGGAGCUCCCUAACGUGACCCCGUACCUCUCUCGGAAAGAAGACUUUUAUGUAAACUUGCAGUCUUCUCAAUCCUUUGACUCCAUCUUUAAAGCUUCAGUUUUACCAAUGUUAGGAAAAAGUUGUUAAUCCAGAGAACUAAAUAAUCUGUAGAGAGAGUAGAAGGUUAACAUUCGCAGGCUUGUGGAGCUUCUGGAUGUGUGUAUACUUUUUCCAGAACCUGUAUGUUGGUUCUGAAUAUAAGGAACACUCAAAUCAGUGGGAAUUACAAAUUUUAUUUAAAAUAUUUCCAAGUUUGACUUCUGAAUCCCAAAGGAAAAUCUGAUAUGGUACAGCUAACCUGUUUACUCUCUGUUAAUUAGUCAUUUAAAGUGGAAAGAAAAUAAACAUUGGUUUCCUCUUGUCAUGUUUAUGGACAUAAAUAUUUCACUGGGAGUCACUAUUAGAAUUUGAUAUUAUAUUUAUCACAUUUUAUAAACCUAUGUUGAGCUUAGUACCAGUCAUGUAUAUGUUAUUAUAUGAUUAGCCACAGGUUUUUGAAAAUAUAUAAUUACCUUAUAUCCUUAAGUCCUUAAAAGAUUCUGCACACAUUCUAAUUCUACUGUUCUAGACCAGCAUUCUAGGAUGUGUGUAACAACCCCUUAUAGGCCCUAGGAGCCUUUUAGGCUAUAAUAGUUUUAAAUAUUCACACCCUUGACUAGCAGUGGGUUGUGGUGUAUUUUGCUUUUCUUUUUAAGUUUUUUUUAGAUUAUGAACUAUGCAAACUUCAUCCAAAAACUACCUUUCAUGAUCCCUUCCUAACUGCUUUUUGAUUCUUUCAGUCUAGCCAGCUACUUUCUGAACUACUUAACAAAGGUUAUUAUCAAAAAAGACUUUUCUAUAAGUGUCCACAUUAACACUGAGGAAAUCUCCAUGUGCCCAAAGAGGUGGUAACACCUACCUGUUCCUCUCUUUAAGUCCCUCAUGGUUUAUAGCACCUGUCCUCCACUGUCUGACUUGCAGUCAUAUGUCAGGAAAGUUUUCUUCAUACCUGUUCAGUCUCUCUCAUUUGAUUUAAGGUCUGUUUCUCAUACCUAGUAGGGAGAAGAGAAGAGACAGUCAUCCUCUCUAACACUCUUCAGUCAGCUUCUGGCUUCUCAGUUAACACCAGUUCAUCAGAUAAAAUUGUUCCACUUCUUUUAGGGUUUUUUUCUUCUCAAAUCUAUUUUAAUUACUUUAUUUAUAUUUAAAAGCACUAAAAUUCUAUGUUAUAUUCAAAUUAAUUAUGCCAGUUAAUUUAUAUCACAAUAGUUUGAUAGAAUUGAGAAUAAAGAUGUUACCAUUGGAUUUAAUCAUCAGACCACCUGAAAAUCAGCACCUAACAUUUUUGUAUUAUCUAACAUUUUUCUAUUAAAGUAUGUUUUAUGAUUUUUAUAUCUGUACAGAUAUAACUAGAAAGCCAUGCAUAUAUAGUUGUGUAUCUUUUUUUCCAUUAAACGCUAACCUAUGUUGCAGUAUGAUACAAGUAUUAUAUGUUUGGGUAUUAUGAUUGAGCCACAACAAAUAUUACACAUUUUUCUUUAUCAAAUACUUUAUUAAACACUAAAUGCAAAACUAAUUUUCAAAAGCAGACCCUACAAAAAUCAGGUAUUCGUGGUUGUUUUAUAUUUUUGUAGACCACUUUUGAAAUGCUUGUCACUGUUUUUGCAGCAUAGACUGGACUAAAACAGUUUUCAUUUCAACUCUUAAAUGAUUAAAACUAGGUGUUUGCAUAGAAAGGAAAUUCUUAAAAAUUUAUCCCAUGGCAUAUAAAUUUUGAGAAGCUAUACUUUGUGUUAAGAUUAUGCCCCAAAUAAAUCUAUUGAGUCUUUUUAAAAUUUUCCAUUUUGUUAUUACUGAUGUUUGUGGUGUUUCUAAUGAGCAUUGUAAACAUACAUAUUCACUUGUAAAAUGUAGUUUGCAGCCCACAUUAAAAUCUGGAGCAGAAAGAAUAUUUAGAAGUAUUUUUGCUUCAUUAGAAUGUCUAGUUUGUAAGUGAAUUUAAAAAGAAAAUUGACUGUACUUGAAUUUACAACUUGACUGUUCUUUCUUUUUAAAAUGCUUUUCCCCCAUUUAAUUAGUAUUUUAAGUUCCAGAAACAUCUUCAUGGUUUGGAAUCACUUUUAGACAUAGUAUUACUUAAAAACUCAGGGCCCCUUUCAACUGUUUGUACACUGAAAGAGUUCAGAUGCUAACAAACAAGCAAUUAGAUCUAGUUGAAUAUUUAAAAGUAUUUGUUGCAUAGUAAUGUUUCAUCAUAUUAUUUGACUUAAUUCACAUCACAUGAUGUUUGAUUUCAUUAAUCAUAAAACUUGCCCAGUUCUGUAAUUACUGUACAGAAGGAAUUACUCAACUAAUUGGCCACAUGUUACAGCAGAUUUAAGCCUUGGAGUUGAAGCACUGGCUUAAACACUUUCUGUUCUUGGUUCUGUGGAUGUACGUGAUGGGGCAAAUGUUUCAUUCUGUUUUGUUUUUUAAUAUCAAGAUUAGGAAAGGUAAUUCUGACAUGGAAUUUCCUCAUGGGAUAAUUAGCAUUAUAAGACUUUCUAAAAGUGAGCAGCUGUCGUUGGUGACAGCUCAAUGUCUUUGAGAAGGUGAGCUAUGGUGACCAGCUUUCCACACUGUCAGAGGCAAACAGUUGUUCUUUGAGUUGACAAGCUCAAGUUCUCAUUGGUCCGCUGUAUAUUUAAAUCUUAGCAGUGAGUUUCUUGUAAUCAGUCUCUUGUCUCAGUCUCCCCGCCUUGUUAUCAGUCGUAAGCAUAUAAAAGAAACAUUUGUAAAGAUGUAUAAGAAUAAGAAAACUAAUGACUAAAAAACGCAAUUCAAAGCAAUUAGGUUUCAAUUUAAUCUUGAGUUGCUUCACUUCUGUGGCUUAUUUUUUUUUUCUAGUAACAUUUAUUUAUUUAAGCAGUGUUGUAUGCCUUCUCUUUAUUUCCAUAGAGAUUAUUGUAUGGGCUUGUGUAAGCUGGAAUCAUUCUUAAUUUUCUGUUGCUAAUUUUUCAGAUGACUUUACAUGGAUAGCUGUAAAAUAACUCUUAGGGUGUUAUAGCUGAAACAUUGGCUGGAAGACGUGUAGCUGCCAUGCCUUUUCUGAAUGGACAGGAGAAACAGAAGCUACCAAGUAUUCACUUCUGAGGAUGCUUUUCCGGAAAAGAAAGGCUGACAAUACGGGCACUUCCUCAGAACCCUCCUUCUUGUUAACGGGUAUCUUUCGUUGGUGUGUUUUGCUCUUACAUUACAGAUAGACUAUUGUGUGUGAAUUUAUGAGUAAUUACUUUCAGUUAUUUUGCUUUUGUAUAAGCCAUCUGAGACCUUGCCAUGCUGUAUAAGUCGUGUGACGGAGCAGUGUGAGUGUGAGUACAGCAGAUCACUCUCCUUUUGUAUUAUCUAUGGAUGCCACUAUGAACGCUGACAUUAAGCCACUGAAGAGUUUUCUAUGAAUAAGUGUAAGUAAAUGCUUUGAUAUAUAUAAACCUAAAUAAACAGAUUGUAUUGAGACAGAGACAUUGGCCAAGGAAGUUUGAAGGUGGUUCUUUAGGUUUAAAAGGCUUGCUGUAAAAUGGUGCAUUAUUCCACUUAUUAAAGAUCAUAUUAAUGACAAC
rnacentral:lncRNA from 1 species